UUAGGGAAACAUGAUAUUACAGCCGGCGUAUUUUUACAAAGAGCCUUUUUAACCAUUCUCUGAUCAUCAACAUCAAUGGUCCAGCUAAUGUUGUUGACUCAUUGAUUGAAUGGAGUACAUAAAAAAAAUAUACUACAGUUUUUACUUCAGCCAACAUCACAUCAACAACGCCCACAUUAACGCGCCCAUUGAAUCCAGAAUCUACCAUGAUGGAUCAAACAGACACUACCUACAAUAAUCCCAUCACUUCAGGCAGCCUCUCGUCAACAGGGACGAUACCGUCAACUCAGCAAAGGACCAUGACAACAACUGCGACUGAAGAACCAGCCACCGCAACGUUACCAGGCGAUCAGACGAAAACUGCCACAUGGACUACGGGUAAACGAUUUUCAGCACUUAUAAACAAUCACAAUGGCUGCUAAUAAUUCCCCGUUCGGAGGAAUUGCACGUCUAUAGAUGCACUUCUUCUACCUGCAUAUUUGUCAAUGCAUGUUUCAUCAAAAUGCAUGAAUUCAAACA